AUUGAACGCUGGCGGCAGGCUUAACACAUGCAAGUCGAGCGGAGAUGAGGUGCUUGCACCUUAUCUUAGCGGCGGACGGGUGAGUAAUGCUUAGGAAUCUGCCUAUUAGUGGGGGACAACAUUCCGAAAGGAAUGCUAAUACCGCAUACGUCCUACGGGAGAAAGCAGGGGAUCUUCGGACCUUGCGCUAAUAGAUGAGCCUAAGUCGGAUUAGCUAGUUGGUGGGGUAAAGGCCUACCAAGGCGACGAUCUGUAGCGGGUCUGAGAGGAUGAUCGGCCACACGGGGACUGAGACACGGCCCUGACUCCUACGGGAGGCAGCAGUGGAGAAUAUUGGACAAUGGGGGGAACCCUGAUCCAGCCAUGCCGCGUGUGUGAAGAAGGCCUUAUGGUUGUAAAGCACUUUAAGCGAGGAGGAGGCUACUGAGACUAAUACUCUUGGAUAGUGGACGUUACUCGCAGAAUAAGCACCGGCUAACUCUGUGCCAGCCGCCGCAGUAA
rnacentral:rRNA from 1 species